rnacentral:rRNA from 1 species
GCGAGCGUUGUCCGGAAUUAUUGGGCGUAAAGAGCUCGUAGGCGGUUUGUUGCGUCUGCUGUGAAAACGCGGGGCUUAACUCCGCGCGUGCAGUGGGUACGGGCAGGCUAGAGUGCGGUAGGGGAGAUUGGAAUUCCUGGUGUAGCGGUGGAAUGCGCAGAUAUCAGGAGGAACACCGAUGGCGAAGGCAGAUCUCUGGGCCGUUACUGACGCUGAGGAGCGAAGGCGUGGGUAGC